GAUGCAAGCAGGAAGGCAAGGAGGCUCUGCCCCCAGGAUUAGGUUUCCCUCUCUAGCUAUGGUCUCCUACUGGGACUAGCUACACCUGCCUGUGAAACUACUCUACCCUAUCGCUAUCAGUUCCAAGCUUGGCCAAAGAUAUCCAGCUGGUUAAGCAACUGGUCCAGGACUGCGUUUUCAAGAGAAACUCCAUGGCUGAGCACCACAGUCCCUUCUCCAGUCUCAGAAAGGUCUCCGGAUAAAGAUGCACAGAAGAGUGCCACCUUGAAGGAAUCUGACUUUUUGAUAG